rnacentral:rRNA from 1 species
UUGGUAUUUUGUCUAAUAGAUGUUUACUUUGAAGGAUAUCUUGUUAUAAAUUGAAUGUGUUUUUAAAUUUUAUUUGAAAAAUUUUUUUGCUAAGAGGAGUAUUUUAAAAUUAAUCUUAAUUAGAUACUAUAGCUUAUAAGUACUGUGAAGGAAAGAAUCGUAUUUUUUGAAAAGAAAGAGUUUAUAUCUGUACCUUUUGUAUCAGGGGUUGCCUAAUUUUGUUCUGUAUUUGGGUAAAUCUCGAAGUUUUGCGAGUUAAAUUUAUGUGUUUGUUUGCGUAGUAGAGCGGAAUAUUUACAUAAUUUUAGUGGUGAUAUGUUAAGCGAGCAAUAUAUAUCUAGUUACUUUUGAAAUAAGUUUAAUUUGACCCUUAUAAAUAAUUUUUUGUAAGAGGGUAUUCGCAGAGGGAAGAGCUUCUGUGUGUUUUGCGUUAUAUAGUUAGUAUACUGUUGUUUUAAGACUAGGCUUAAGAUCAGCUUUGUCUACAACGCGUUUUAGCGGAUAGAUUUUAUGGUUUUAUUUUUUGUUUUGCUUAUAAUUUGUUAAAAAGUUAAUUUUAUAAUGUUUUAGUGAGUGAAAAAGUGGUUAUAUAAGUAGGCAUUUUUGUGUAAGUUGGUUAAAUUUGAGUUAACUUUUUGUUGAUAUAUUUUGAGAGGUGGCUUAAAGGAACUCGACAAUUUUUAUUUUCGCCUGUUUAUCAAAAACAUGUCCAUAUGAAAAAAAUGUAUGGUCCGGCCUGCCCACUGAGGUUUAAAGGGCCGCGGUAUCUGGACCGUGCUAAGGUAGCAUAAUCAAUAGUCCUUUAAUUGAGGUCUUGUAUGAACGGUCAGACGAAAAAUUAAUUGUCUUUGGGUUAGUAAGUUGAAUUUUACUUUUAAGUGAAAAGGCUUAAAUUUUUAAGGGGACGAUAAGACCCUAUGAAGCUUUACAUUUUUUUUCUCUAGGUUAUUUUGAUUUUUGUAUAAAAGUUUAAGGGUAAAGAGUGUUUUGCUGGGGCGGCUGGAAUAUAAGAUUAACUGUUCUUAAAGUAAACAAUGAUAGUUGUAGUGGUUGAUCCUCCAUUUGGGGACAAAGAGAUUUAAGUUACUCUAGGGAUAACAGCGUAAUUCUUUUUGAGAGUACAUAUCGACAAAAGUAUUUGCGACCUCGAUGUUGAAUUAAGAUUUCACUAAGGUGUAGAAGUUUUAGGUGUGGGUCUGUUCGACCUUUAAAGUCUUACAUGAUUUGAGUUCAGACCGGCGUGAGCCAGGUUAGUUUCUAUCUUUUAGUUUAAUGUAAACUAUUUUAGUACGAAAGGAGAGAGUAGUUAAAAAAUUUUUUUUAUUUGAUGAAUUUUAAUU